AUGGCUCAGGAUGAACGCUGGCGGCGCGCUUAACACAUGCAAGUCGAACGAGGCACCUUGCAGAAGUUUCGGAUGGAAGCGGAGGCGACCGAGUGGCGGACGGGUGAGUAACGCGUGGGGAACCUGCCCCAUUCCGGGGGAUACCAGUUGGAAACGACUGUUAAUACCGCAUAAGCGCACGGAAGGACAUCCUUUUGUGUGAAAAACUGAGGUGGAAUGGGAUGGCCCCGCGUCUGAUUAGCCAGUUGGCAGGGUAACGGCCUACCAAAGCGACGAUCAGUAGCCGGCCUGAGAGGGCGACCGGCCACAUUGGGACUGAGACACGGCCCAAACUCCUACGGGAGGCAGCAGUGGGGAAUAUUGCACAAUGGGGGAAACCCUGAUGCAGCGACGCCCGCGUGAGUGAGGAAGUAUUUCGGUAUGUAAAGCUCUAUCAGCAGGGAAGAAGAUGACGGUACCUGCACAAGAAGCCCCGGCUAACUACGUGCCAGCAGCUGC
rnacentral:rRNA from 1 species